ACUAUCAACUACUGAUUGGUUGA
rnacentral:snRNA from 1 species